ACGUAGGGUGCGAGCGUUAAUCGGAAUUACUGGGCGUAAAGCGUGCGCAGGCGGUUGUGUAAGACAGGUGUGAAAUCCCCGGGCUUAACCUGGGAACUGCGCUUGUGACUGCACGGCUAGAGUACGGCAGAGGGGGGUGGAAUUCCACGUGUAGCAGUGAAAUGCGUAGAGAUCCGGAGGAACACCAGAGGCGAAGGCGGCCUACUGGGCUGCACCUGACGCUGAGCCACGAAAGCCAGGGGAGCAAACGGGA
rnacentral:rRNA from 1 species